UAUGAGGAGCCUUAAUAUGCGCAAGCCGGGAAAGUCCCCGAGACGAUCUCGUAGACCUUGGUAUCGGCUAGGACGCCUAGGUAGGAGAGCCGGCGUCCGCGGCGGUUAGGGGUGGCGGCAGGUGGUGGUGAGACGGGGCUGUGGUAGGGAACGCUGUUGGGGGAUCGGGUGGACGGUAGACGGCGGCCGGUGGUGGUCACAGGAGGCGGCGGUAGGGGACACUGUGGGGGCUGGGGCAGGGACGGCAGGCGGCGGCCGGUGGUGGUGGAGACGACGAACCCAUUAAUACGGACCGACGCAAGGCCCCCUUUAUUAGAGCGCCCUCUGUCCCCGCCCUCUUCUAAACUAAAGGAACACAUUAGCUCCUUCUCUCCUCCAGCUAAAGCCUAACACGCCGUUGUUUCCUCACUAAAAAUAAGGCUCAGACAGACAACUCUUCAACAUUAGGCCUAGGAGGAGGGAGAGGAGACUUAUUAGAGGAGGGAAAACCUACUCUCGGCCGGCUCAGCCUCCUCCUCCCCGGCGGAUAGCUAGAUUAUUUAACCGCAGGGGUUAAACAAGAAGCGGCCGCUAAUCAGACGAAACAACGCCGCCAGAUUUAUUUGUCUCCUCCCCUUCCCCCCUAAGCUUAUUCCGGUCGAGUCCGCAGGAGGCAACAGUGUCUAGGUUAUUCUAGUCGGUACUUCUUGUUUUUGCCAGCAGGGUCCUUUAGUCGAGAGUUGCUUCGGCGACGACCGUUGUUCUUACCAGCAGCGUCCGCCUUAGAUUUACGUUGCGUUUUCCGUUGAGCGUUGCUUCGGCGACGAUCGUUGCGUUUACUACUGUCCGAAUCGUUCGACGGGUUACUGGAAGAAGAGUUGUAAGACCUCUCCCACCUGUGUGAGCUGCGAUAUUCCCGGACGUAGGAGAGGUCCGUUUACGACUUCGAGGGGUGGUACGAGAGCGCGAAAAUGGAUUCACAAUCAAGGUAAGGUCCAGAGGUCCGAUUUGGUGGAGCGCGACAGUGGGAGUUCCUUCACGAGCCUUAGUUGUCACGAAACAGAGUACAUUGCCUAUUGUAGAACUCGUGUUCCUCGGGCCUCCAAUGGUAGUCGUUUGAGUUUUAGUCUAAACAGAACAACGGACUACUGAGGGAACGGUAACCUUCUAGACAGCGGGCGCGGUACCGUUGGGUCUUCGAACCACGUCGACUCAAACUCUAGCAUUGCUUCUUCGCAAUAUUGGAGACGAGAAGAUAACUAAAGGAGUUGAAACGGUUCGUCAAGUUACUAAAUCAACCACGAACAGGCGUACGUAAACGACCGGAAUGCUCGGACACCGACCUUUUAUACUCCAAACCACUUGACCUGUAAGGGUUGUAGGAGUCGUGAACGUUCGAGAACCUCAUAAACGCAAAUUGGGUAACGCUGAGUCCCUAGGUAAGACACGACGUUCAUCUUGUGUGAGUUGAACAACUCGAGCUCUAGCUGGUCCCCUUUAAAGUCUCUCAACUCGACUAUACAGAUGGUUUUGAGGUUGCCAACUGGAUAUUAUUAACCAAGAGAACACUCCUAGGCUACAUAAAACCAAAACAUGGUGUCGAAAGUUUCGACUCGGAAUAAUUUUGACGGUGGGCAAGCCUGUUCAGAGAGUUCAAUUCAGUUGAGGAACGAUUACAAGGAAGGCAUCCGCUAGACGCAGACCUAAAACCUUCACUUUUCUAGACCCAAGAUGGUCUUACGGGUUUUGACGAGUCCGGACACGAGUCGUUUGAUGUCGUACACUUAGACCUGGUAGAAGGACUUCCCACACUAAAUCGAACCUGUUACAAAUAAGAACUUCGACGUGGGAGGAAUUUUCUCGAUACGUAGUGUCAUACCCUAGUAACCACGUAUUACCACUUUCUGUUUCUCAAAGCCCUCUUUAUACCAAUGACGCUCUUCCGUCUGCACUUCACCUUCGGUAUACGGGGACUAAAGUUCGUGUUCUUAGACCGAUUCGAGUGGUAAAUACCGAAGGUUGGACUGCUGUUAAAAUACGCUAUGCAGUCCACACAGCACCUUGUACGGUAAUUAUAUUGUCUCUAUAGGGACAGGCUGUCCUUCCCCACAUCCGCCACACCACUGAACCUAGGUAGUUCUAUAGGUGCCUGACGGCCCCUCUCCUUUGUCUGUCGACUGCUCAACCCAAACCGAAGCCCACAACACCAAGUAAAGGCCAGCACUAACUUUUUUAAUACUCAUCAAACAUUCAGUAGACAAGAUAGUAGAAACAUCGACCUUCCUCAAACAUUCAGUAUACAGUAUAGUACAAACAUCGACCUUCAUCAAUAACAUGGAAAACGAAACGAAAGUCAACUUCGAACAACACUUCAUAAGACUCUAAACUGUAGAAACCUUUAUUAUUAACACUUGAUAACUGAUAACACCUCAA
rnacentral:rRNA from 1 species